AUCCAGCAUCUACUCCAAUGAUUUCUCAGCGCUUCUCCUCACGAUUCUCCCCUUUUCUCAAAACCUUGAUUAAUUCCAAUUUUCCAGAACACAAUUCUGGUUUUUUUCUGCAACCUGUUUGAAAAUUCCAUGUUCAAGCUGUGAUGGGUUUCCUUCGAAGUGAAAAUCAAUGGGCUUGGAGAGAUGAAGAGUUGGAUGAUGCGCAGUUGACAGUAGAACAGCUGCAAAUUUGUUGCGAAAUUAUGUUCAUUGGAAAGAGCUUUCAAGUCCUUUCACUUUUGGUGCCAAGAAUAGUAAGAUUAUUGUGACAACCUGUGAUGAUAAUGUAGCAGCAAUCGUGAGGAACGUUCCGACUUAUUAUCUUGAUGUCUUAUCAGAUGAUGAUUGUUGGAAGUUGUUUGUAAAUCAUGCAUUUGAUGCUACCAGCCCCAGCAAACAUCCAAAUAUGAUGGAAAUCGGUAAAGCGAUCGUUAAUAGAUGCAAUGGUCUCCCUUUGGCUGCAAAAACACUUGGAGGUCUUCUGCGUUGUAAAUUAGACCCUGAUGAUUGGAGUAAACUAUUACAUAGCAACUUUUGGGACAUACUACCAGAUGAUGCAUCCAAUAUUCUUCCGGCAUUUAGAUUGAGUUACUAUUAUCUUCCUUCACAUUUGAAACGUUGUUUUGCGUAUUAUUCUAUUUUUCCUAAAGAUUAUGAAUUCCAUAAAGAAGAGCUCAUUCAUUUAUGAAUGGCUGAAGGUCUUUUAGAGUUUUCCAAAAACAAUGGUGAUGCAGAAGAUCGAGGUAACGAGUACUUCAGAGAUUUGAGAUUGAGGUCAUUUUUCAACAAUGGAAGGGGAAGAAAAGUGGUUUUGUCAUACAUGAUCUAAUUAGUGACUUGGCUAAAUCCAUCACUGGAGAAUUUGUUUGCAGAUUGGAAGGUAGUGGUGGUUCAUGUGAAGUAAUUGAAAGGGCUCGUCACCUGUCCUGUGUCCAAGAAAAUAUGAUGUGCGAAAGAAAUUCAAGAGAUUACCUGAAGGUGGUGGUGGUUAUGUGAAAAAACUCGUCAUUUAUCCAAUGUCCAAGAAGAAUAUGAUGUGCAAAAGAAAUUUGAGGCUUUACCUAAAGCAAAAGGUUAAGGCAAAAGGUUUAAGUACAUUCCUAAACAUGAGGUCUUCUUAUGCUAGCAAUGUGCUAAUUCAUGAUUUGCUGGUUAAAUCAAGCUUUCGAGUGCUUUCUUUGGCCAAGUACGAAAAUAUCGGUGAAUUACCAGAAGAAAUUGGUAAUCUGAAGCAUCUGCGAAGUCUGGAUCUCUCAGAAACAUCGAUUAGAAGGUUGCCGAACUCUUUGAGUACACUGUAUAAUUUGCAAACUUUAACGUUGGUUAAAUUCAAAAACCUUGAUGAGACAUGGAGUAAUUUGCAAACUUUAACGUUGGAUCUCUCAAAUGUCGUAUCUUUGGAGUUAUGGAAUUGUAAAUUUUGCAUUUCCUUGCCAUCACUUGGGCAAUUAUAAUCUCUCAAAUCUCUCCUUAUUUCUAGGUUCAGCGGAGUGGUAACAGUGGGUGAUGAGUUCUACGGGAAUGGGCACGCUUCAGAUAAAUCAUUUGGAUCUCUUGAAAUUCUAUGCUUUGAGGAUAUGGCAGAGUGGGAAGAAUGGUUUUGUUCGAGUGAUGAAGUUUUCUCUCUUUUGCAAGAGCUGUUCCUAAGAAGCUGUUCCAAGAUUGUGAGAAGCUUGGAGGCUCGCUUCCAACAGCACCAAGCCUUUUCAAACUAAAGUUAGAAAAAUGCAAUGCAUUGCAAUUGGAGCCAUUGCCCUGCCGGCUUCGAGAGUUGGUGAUCAUAGAUUCAAAUAUUGACAGUUCCAUAUUGGAACAGAUGUUGCAACAAUGCACUCAUCUUGAAAAGUUGUCCAUGCGGGAUUGUUCUGGUAUCGCAUCCCUUCCCGACUCUAGUGUGCCUAUUAGGCUGAAGCAAUUGUGCAUCAUAAGCUGCAAAGUCUUGAAUUGUUCCAAAUCCUUGUUGUUUACAUCCCUUAAAUCCUUGCAGAUAAGAAGCAAGAAGUGUCAUCCGCUAGAAUCUUUCCCAUUAGGAUCAUUCCCUAUGUUAAAUAAUGUUUCUUUCUAGGGAUGUGAAGACUUGAACUUCAUUUGUGCUUCAAAGGACUCUCACCAGCAGCAUCUAGCAAGCCUCAGUUCUUUGAGUAUACAUUCGUGCCAAGAUUUUAUAUCUUUUCAAACCCAAGGCGGAUUGCUCAUCACGAAUUUGACCAAACUUCGUCUUUGGGAUUGUCCAAGUUUAAAAUCAUUGCCAGAGCAAAUGCAGUCCGUCUUCCCAUCCCUUGUGAUGUUGGCAAUAGGAGAUUGUCAGAAAUAGUCAUUUCCAGAAGAAGGUUUGCCCUCCAAAUUAAAAUACAUCACUAUCUUCGGAAGUGAUAAGAUCAUUGCGGGGUUGGUCGCGAAAAGGGAACGUUGUUUGCAAACACACCCUUCACUUACAUAUUUCGAAGUCUCAGAUACAGAGUUAGAGAUGAAGAGUUUUCCGGAUGAAAAUCUGCCCUCUUCGCUUACAUCUCUCACUAUCUCUGAUCUUCCAAAUCUUAAGUCUUUGGACUUUAAGGGCUUUCAACACCUCACAUCCCUUCAACGAUUGUAUAUCUACCAUUGUCCAAAGCUCCAAGCGCCAACAAAGAUGCUCCCACGUUCUCUUUUGUAUCUCUUCAUUGUGACUUGUCCAUUGCUGAAGGAACAUUGCCAGGAGGAGAAGGGAAAAGAUUGGCACAACAUUUCCCAUAUCCUUGUCAUUAAAAUUGACAAUGAAGUCAUUCUAUAGAAGGGACAGUUGAGUAGUUGACUGAGGAUAGGAAUGCCUAAAUGAGUCCCUUACCAUCCUCACGCAGGUAUUCCCUUCAUUUUCCUUAACCAUCCAUUUCUGUUUUUACUUCCGUUACUCAAGGUUUGACUUGUGCAUUUUUUUUUCUCUUGAUUGAGUUAGAUAUGCAACUUUUGUGUUUUUCCUGGAAACCACCAAUAAAACCAAAAAAUCAUUCACCUUAGCUUCUCUCCAUCCCUCAGAACUUUGACAAAUUCCAAUUUUCUUGGGGACAACUCUCCUUUUUUUCAGCACCUUUUUUGAAAAUCCCAUCUUCCAGCUUUGAUGGGUUUUUUCUGAAGAGAAAACAUUGGUUUUGAUGAGAAAUUAAUGGGUUUGUGGGGUGGGGGAAUUUGGAAUCAUUAGUGCUUGGAGAGGAGGAGGGAAUUUGGAACAGUUGGAUGUUGCGCCAUUGACAGUUGAAUUGCGGCAAAUUUCCAGUGAGAGUCAAUUUGAUAGAGUCAUUGCUGAAGCUCAACAACUUGAGGAGUCUUAGAUUAUUCUUUGGAUGGCAAGCUGGUGCAGAGAAUGUAUAUAUUUGAAGCCGAAAUUGGAAAAAUUGGCAGCUGAUUACUAUCCGAGGUUAGAUAAGUUCCUUUUUAAACUCUGACACUAUUAGUCCGGUCUAUCACAACGAACCUAG